rnacentral:rRNA from 1 species
AUUGAACGCUGGCGGAAUGCUUUACACAUGCAAGUCGAACGGCAGCACGGGGGCAGCCCUGGUGGCGAGUGGCGAACGGGUGAGUAAUACAUCGGAACGUGCCCGGUCGUGGGGGAUAACGUAGCGAAAGUUACGCUAAUACCGCAUACGAUCUGAGGAUGAAAGCGGGGGACCUUCGGGCCUCGCGCGUUCGGGGCGGCCGAUGUCAGAUUAGGUAGUUGGUGGGGUAAAGGCCUACCAAGCCGACGAUCUGUAGCUGGUCUGAGAGGACGACCAGCCACACUGGGACUGAGACACGGCCCAGACUCCUACGGGAGGCAGCAGUGGGGAAUUUUGGACAAUGGGCGCAAGCCUGAUCCAGCCAUUCCGCGUGCAGGACGAAGGCCUUCGGGUUGUAAACUGCUUUUGUACGGAACGAAAAGGCUCUGGCUAAUACCUGGGGCUCAUGACGGUACCGUAAGAAUAAGCACCGGCUAACUACGUG